GUUCCUCCUCGUCGUCUACGCCGCGAGACCGUAACGUCUACUCGUUUAAUUGCAAUCGGACCCGUACGAGCAGCCGGCUUUCGAUUGUCAAAUUGGAGGCAACCACGAUUUUUGGGUCGACCCCCCUUGCUCGACGUGCUGCCACGCGAAAUCUGACCGAUGCCCGUGUGUUUCGGGGCUAACGUUAUGCGGAGUCGAAAUCCGCGAGCUUCACGCAGGACAUUCGUCGCGAUUUAAUGGUUUCAUUGUUUUCGAUUUGACUCGCAAAUGCAUUCGCGAACGCAUGGAAGAUGGAAUUGUGUUUGUAAAAUUGGUGAGAUUUGAUCGAUUGGAAUUUCUGCUGAUUCUCUUGUUUCGUUUCUUUAGUGGGUACUGGUUCAUAUUGUUGACUGUUUGUUUCUUAAUGUGUGCUUGGUACUUAUCGUAUCAUAUUUUGAUUAUGUUUGCUAUUAUUGGUCCGCGGAUAUUUGUGCGAAAUCAAAAUGCUCGAAGUUAAUUCUAAGAAACAGAAACGAAGUGAAGAUGUAUUUUCUCUUUUGAUGAUUUUGAUAAGUCGGAAAUAGUGUAAUAAUGCUUAUAAUGUUGUCCAGUGUCUUCAAAGUUUUGCAUUUAACAUUGUAAUUUUUGCAUAAAAUCAGUUUGAUUGUGAUAUAUGCUCGACGAUAGAAAAUUAUCGAUAAUUCUCUCGUAGAAAUAUUUUUGCAAUACUAAGAAUUAUGACAAUCGCGUUAACACGAUUGUUACUGUACCAGCAUUGUUAAUCGAUGAUUAUCUAGGUGUCAUUAAUUAAAAUUAAAUAUCGCAAAUUAAACAGUGACUACGGAUUGAAAAGGUUAAAGUUGCUUCGAGUGCAAAGGGUUAAGGUAGCAUCCUCUGCAAUACAUAAAUAGACUAUGGAUUUUAUGCAUUUAUGACAAAAUGAAGAUUUCUUCAGGUUCAUAUUCAACACUUGUUGAGCCUUUGUGGUAUGUAAAAUACCGAGCCAACCUCGGUUUACGUGUCGAUAGCUUGAACUAAAAUAGCUGCUGUACAAAAUGUACUAUUACAUCAUUUUAUAGUACCAAAUAUUCUAAAAUGUUAAAAGUAUUUAUUUUAAGGAACUUAAUCGUAUGUUAAGAUCUAUAUUAAAUAAAUAUAGGUACUAUAUUCCA